rnacentral:rRNA from 1 species
CCUUCGGGAAAUGGAUUAGUGGUGAACGGGUGAGGAACACGUGAGAAACCUGCCUUUCAUUCUGGGAUACCACCGGGAAACCGGUGCUAUUACCGGAUACUCCGUCUGGCGGCAUCGCCGAGCCGGGAAAAAAUUUGGAUGAAAGAUGGUCUCGCGGCCUAUCAGCUAGUUGGUGAGGUAAUGGCUCACCAGGCGACGACGGGUAGCCGGCCUGAGAGGGCGACGGCCACACUGGGACUGAGACACGGCCCAGACUCCUACGGGAGGCAGCAGUAGGGAAUAUUGGGCAAUGGGCGCAAGCCUGACCCAGCGACGCCGCGUGAGGGAUGAAGGUCUUCGGGAUUGUAAACCUCUUUCAGUAGGGAAGAAGCGAAAGUGACGGUACCUAAAGAAGAAGCACCGGCUAACUAUGUGCCAGCAGCCGCGGUAAUACAUAGGGUGCAAGCGUUGUCCGGAAUUAUUGGGCGUAAAGAGCUCGUAGGUCGUUUGUCGCGUCGAUUGUGAAAAUCUGAGGCUCAACCUCAGACCUGCAGUCGAUACGGGCAAACUAGAGUGUGGUAGGGGAGACUGGAAUUCCUGGUGUAGCGGUGGAAUGCGCAGAUAUCAGGAGGAACACCAAUGGCGAAGGCAGGUCUCUGGGCCAUAACUGACACUGAGGAGCGAAAGUGCGGGGAGCGAACAGGAUUAGAUACCCUGGUAGUCCGCACCGUAAACGGUGGGCACUAGUUGUGGGGAACCUUCCACGGUUUCCGCGACGCAGCAAACGCAUUAAGUGCCCCGCCUGGGGAGUACGAUCGCAAGAUUAAAAUUCCGGAUUGCGGGGCCCGCACAGCAGGGGACAUGCGUUAAUUCGAAGCAGGAAGAAACCUACCCGGGUGACUAGCAGCGGAAAUGUACGUCGACGACAACGGGGGCCGGAGCGCCCCCCGGGUGGGGUA